rnacentral:rRNA from 1 species
UACGUAGGGGUGCGAGCGUUGUCCGGAAUUACUGGGCGUAAAGAGCUCGUAGGUGGUUUGUCGCGUUGUUCGUGAAAACUCACAGCUCAACUGUGGGCGUGCGGGCGAUACGGGCAGACUGGAGUACUGCAGGGGAGACUGGAAUUCCUGGUGUAGCGGUGGAAUGCGCAGAUAGUCAGGAGGAACACCGGUGGCGAAGGCGGGUCUCUGGGCCGUAACUGACGCUGAGGAGCGAAGCGUGGGGAGCGAACAGG